CCGGGCUCCUGUUGAAGCUGCAGCUACUUCCACAUAGCUGCUGGGGUCAAAAAGGAGCCCAGAGUGACAGUUUUCCUUGACGGUCGCCGUUCUGUUUCCUGUCACUGACCUGCAACAUUUUGGGAAAAUACAGUU
rnacentral:snoRNA from 1 species